rnacentral:rRNA from 1 species
UGGGGAAUUUUGGACAAUGGGCGCAAGCCUGAUCCAGCAAUGCCGCGUGUGUGAAGAAGGCCUUCGGGUUGUAAAGCACUUUUGUCCGGAAAGAAAUCCGUCUGGCUAAUACCCGGACGGGAUGACGGUACCGGAAGAAUAAGCACCGGCUAACUACGUGCCAGCAGCCGCGGUAAUACGUAGGGUGCGAGCGUUAAUCGGAAUUACUGGGCGUAAAGCGUGCGCAGGCGGCUUUGUAAGACAGAUGUGAAAUCCCCGGGCUUAACCUGGGAACUGCGUUUGUGACUGCAAGGCUGGAGUACGGCAGAGGGGGGUGGAAUUCCACGUGUAGCAGUGAAAUGCGUAGAGAUGUGGAGGCACACCGAUGGCGAAGGCAGCCCCCUGGGCCUGUACUGACGCUCAUGCACGAAAGCGUGGGGAGCAAACA